ACAGAUAAAGACACACACACUGGCGCACACACGGAGGCGAGCAGAGGCGGUGUGUUCCGCUCCAGUGCGCUGCAUCUGUUCAUUGCUAAAUAUAACCAGAGAAACCCAGGCCUACCGCUCCCUCUGUGUUAAUAGCUGAGUAGGCCAAAGGAUGGAGGAAGAAAAAAAGGAGGCAGAGGAGAAAAGGGCAACACGUGUAAAAACACUGAAGCUUCUAGCGGGAUGAAUCCUCCCUGCCGCUGAUAGAAAGCAUCAAGCUUCAGUCGGAGCCGAUGACCACGGGCAAUGAGACGGAGAAGAGAUACACGUCCCCAUCUUCCCUAUAUCCCUCCCCACCCUGCCUCGGGUGCAGCAGCAGACUGGAAUGUUUCAUCACUAGCCGGCUAAUAUGAUGAAACUCACAAUAAAACACAAGACAAGAAAUUACUACAUUAGGCUUGAAUUAUAGUUUAUAUGCAUUUGGAUGAAGGAGUGGAAAAGGAGAAGCCUUUCCACCGGGUGUAAUAACCACUAAUUUGUACCUUGACGGUUGUAAUUGAAGGGGCCGCUUGUGCAGUUGAUGUGGUACACAAACAAACCAGUGAGGUUGACUUGAAGGGGAGACUGGGAGACGGGACAUCCAGUGACCCAUAUAUCUGAGUUCUCUGCUGUGUUAAAACCUAAUAUUAAUUAACAUAAAUGGAACACCCACUUUUACAAAAAUAGCCGUUCUAACCAAGGGGCUAUCCAUCAGAUAUACAGAGCUGUGUGCAGGGAGAUAGCUGACAGACAAGAGGCCCCACAGGGAGAUUCAUUAAAUUAAUCUGUCAUGUGAAUUUCCUCAUUUAGUUACCCAAUGGAUGCUGCUACCUGAAUUUUGUGCUGAGAGGAAGCACUAUUUCAGAAAUGCCAGCUGGGCAUGUUUGUUAGAGGAUUUAGCUAAUAUGCUAAAAAAAAAAAAAAAAAAAAAAAAAAAAAAAAAAAAGUGUUCUUAACCAGAAAGUGAGGAAACAUUGCUAAGAAUUACAGUUUUUAAAGUGGAGUUCAAGAAACCUGCUUUCAAACAGACGAGAAAUGCAAGAAUGAUUCACAUACAGCGGAGCACACGUCUCAGUCCCUAUCAAAACUGUCUGUGAGCAGAGAUAACACGCAGCAGACUGACAGCUGGGGGAUCAACAGCUGAGAUAAGAUUAAAGAGAGGCCCUGGA